GGGAAUGUAGCUCAGUGGUAAGUGCUUGCUUAGCAUGUAUGAGGCCCUGGGUUCAAUUCCCAGCACUA
rnacentral:tRNA from 1 species